rnacentral:lncRNA from 1 species
UCGAGAUGGAAAGAAGCGGAGUCAUCUGAAGUUAGUCGAUUGCAGAUUGAUAUUGACUUUUUUGUAUUAGGCCUCUUAUGGUCAUAUACUCCUCAUGUAUGCAAGUUAUAAAAUAUGCAUGGCUUUCGAUUAUAUGGAUUUGACCGAUCCUGGUGAAGAUAACUCUCAAAAAUAACCUGGAACGAAUAAUCGAUAUUUGAAGUUGUGGAUGGGGUUUACAGAAUAGUGAAAACUUGACAAACAAUACAAAGAAUAAUGAAAAUGAAUGAAAAAAAGGAAUAAAGAAUAAUGAGGUGCUAAAUUAAGAAAAAAAAGAGAAUAUGGGCA